rnacentral:rRNA from 1 species
AACGAACGCUGGCGGCGUGCCUAACACAUGCAAGUCGCACGAGAAAAUUCGCUUCGGCGGAUGAGUAAAGUGGCGCACGGGUGAGUAACGCGUGGAUAAUCUGCCUUCAAGCCGGGAAUAACUCAUCGAAAGGUGGGCUAAUACCCGAUAAUGCUAUUGUGCAUAAGCAUGAUAGCCAAAGAGAGCCUCUGCUUGCAAGCCCUCACUUAAAGAUGAGUUCGCGUACCAUUAGCUAGUUGGUGGGGUAAUGGCCUACCAAGGCAACGAUGGUUAGCUGGUCUGAGAGGAUGAUCAGCCACACUGGAACUGAGACACGGUCCAGACUCCUACGGGUGCAG